rnacentral:rRNA from 1 species
GGACAACAGUUGGAAACGACUGCUAAUACCGCAUAAGCCCACGACCCGGCAUCGGGUUGAGGGAAAAGGAGCAAUCCGCUUUGAGAUGGCCUCGCGUCCGAUUAGCUAGUUGGUGAGGUAACGGCCCACCAAGGCGACGGUCGGUAGCCGGACUGAGAGGUUGAACGGCCACAUUGGGACUGAGACACGGCCCAGACUCCUACGGGAGGCAGCAGUGGGGAAUAUUGCACAAUGAGGGAAACCCUGAUGCAGCGACGCCGCGUGGAGGAAGAAGGUCUUCGGAUUGUAAACUCCUGUUGUUGAGGAAGAUAAUGACGGUACUCAACAAGGAAGUGACGGCUAACUACGUGCCAGCAGCCGCGGUAAAACGUAGGUCACAAGCGUUGUCCGGAAUUACUGGGUGUAAAGGGAGCGCAGGCGGGAAGACAAGUUGGAAGUGAAAUCCAUGGGCUCAACCCAUGAACUGCUUUCAAAACUGUUUUUCUUGAGUAGUGCAGAGGUAGGCGGAAUUCCCGGUGUAGCGGUGGAAUGCGUAGAUAUCGGGAGGAACACCAGUGGCGAAGGCGGCCUACUGGGCACCAACUGACGCUGAGGCUCGAAAGUGUGGGUAGCAAACAGGAUUAGAUACCCUGGUAGUCCACACCGUAAACGAUGAUUACUAGGUGUUGGAGGAUUGACCCCUUCAGUGCCGCAG